UGUUAGGUCAAGGUGCAGUUUAAAUAAGAAAAAAAUGGAUUACACUAAAAAUAAUGAAUGAAUUUUAUGUAUAUUUUAUAUUUGAAAAAGGAUUUGAUAGUAAAUUUAUUAAAAUAAUUAAGUGAAUAGAGAUUCUAAAAUAUGUACAUAUUGCCCGUCGCUCUUAUUUAAUAUAAGAUAAGUCGUAACAUAGUAGUGGUACUGGAAAGUGUCUCUGGUAAUAAAUUAUUGAGUAAAUAGCUUAAGAUAUAAAGUUUAUUAGUUACAUUAAUAAGAUAUUAGAAAAAUUUUGCUUUAAUUAAAAUUUUAAUACGAUUUUUGUGGUAAAUAAUUUACUAGAAACAGUAGUGGGGGCUACUUUUUUUAUUAAAAAAAUAUUUAUUUGUACCUUU
rnacentral:rRNA from 1 species